rfam:Solanum lycopersicum cultivar Heinz 1706 chromosome 2, whole genome shotgun sequence.
GAAAAAUGAUGAUAGUUCAUGUCGCCCCAGUCUUAAGUUGCAUCCAAUUUAUUGGAUUUGCAAGGUGGUGAUUGACUCAUUAUAUCUGAUUC